GCUUAAGUAUUUUGGGCCGGUGGUUUGGCCCAACGAGUUAUUAUUGCUAGUGGGUCGUUACAUUUGGUAUCAGAGCCGGUUCACCAGCUGGACAUGUGUGGCGAGUCUCGACUGAGCCAGGGUAUAAUCCCACAUCGGAUGGAAAUGGGGUUGUCAUUGGGUUUAUAAGAGAGUUAGACACUUGUAAUAAUAACUGGGCUUAAGUAUUUUGGGCCGGUGGUUGGGCCCAACGAGUUAUUAUUGCUAGUGGGCUGGGUCGUUACAUCUUAGGUACGCAAAUUUUNGAUUCAAAAUCAAUAAUUUUUAAUGGUUGAUAUCUGCCGUUUUCAAGUUUAAUGGUGUAGAAGUAUUCAAAUUAGAUAAAAUUUUGAUACAAAAUUUUUUAUACUGUCUACAACAAGAUCAAUAUUUAUGAUCGAAAAUUUUAGUGCUAUAUCACCACUUUUUAUAGGAUUUUUAUUUUCAGCCGUUAAAAAUUAUUGAUUUUGAAUCCUUUCGAUUGCUAGGUAAAUGAUAUCGAAAAAUUGCAAAAAUUAUUUUCUAGAAACUUCAAAUACGCUAGAUCAAGUCUAACGGAGCCGAUCGUCGAUUUGAGAGUUCCAUCAUCGAAAACGGCUCAGGAGCACA
rnacentral:lncRNA from 1 species